GGAUUUCCAGAGUUUAAGGAAUGAAGUCCAAUCCUUUCUGGGUGUGCCGGGAUGUGAGACUGUGGGCGCCUUCCAUGGUUGGUGGACCAGUUUACAGCUAAAACGUAACAUUGAAUCCUGUCAGGGUUUUCCAUCGG